UCUGAGGUGACGGGAAAGGGCCGGGAAAUUUCCACUUCUGAAUAAAAUGACUGCUGAAGUGAUGACCCGCAAGAAUUGGUCAAAUUUGGAGUAGACUUCACCCUGCGCUUGGUGAAACUUCUACGUCAAGGAUGCAAGAGGCGCCGAAGUAACGCAGCUCCCACCUGUCGCUCUCCGCUGGGCGCCGAGACUAUGGCCGGAGAAUAGCUGCACCGGGAUUGGAGAAAGGAAGCCAUCAGUCUUAGGAAGGCUCCACCUUCCUGCCAUUGCCUGGUUGGAGGAGCGUAGCGUCAGUCACUAGAGCAGUCACCACCUCUGGGACAGGUGAAGAUGUGUAACCUAUUUGCCGGGGGCUAUUUGGGAGGGAAUAGAGGACGGGGAGCGAUGAGGGGACAGUCGAGGGGCAAGGCCGAUCUCGCUUCGCGCCUCCCGCCUUUCUGAGUUGAGCCUAGCGCGCGGGUCUGAGGGACAUCCGGGGAGCUGCUUGGGAUGGCCGCCUUGGGGAGACUCGACCCGCCCGCCAGGACCCGGCCGCGCGCCGCAGUUCGGGCGCCUUCGGGCAGGAUCGCCCAGCGGGGCCGCGUUCUCCUGCUUGCGGACGGCUGCGGGCCUGAGGGCUGGACAGCGCCAUGCCUCAGUACCGGGAACUGUCCCACGUAGGAAGGUGGGAAUGCCGCGAACGGCGUGCGGAAUCCGACCUCAAGGUGGAACGGGGUGGUGAAGAGUGCAUGCUCCGAGGCAGUUUCGAGUUCUGGUGCUGCCACUUACUUGCUGCCUGACUUCGGCGCGUUUGCUGUUUCAUUUUUGUGACUUUCAACUCGCUCCUCUGUGAAAUGGGAGUAAUAUUAGUACCUUCCUCAUUGGGUUGUUGUUAUGAAUAAAUUAGAUGAUAAUAUAGCGCUUAGCAAAGUCCCAAACUUACAGGAAAGACUCAUUUUUGCUAGUUAUUGUCUCCUCUUCCUUCAGGAACUCUCUGCUCGCCCCUGGGUCCUGCCAGCCCAACUAAUUCUAGUUCUAAUCAGAUCUGUGUGGUG
rnacentral:lncRNA from 1 species